UACAGAGGUCUCAAGCGUUGUUCGGAUUCAUUGGGCGUAAAGGGCGCGUAGGCGGCGGGGCAAGUCGGGUGUGAAAUCUCAGGGCUCAACCCUGAAACUGCACUCGAUACUGCUCUGCUUGAGGACUGGAGAGGAGACUGGAAUUCACGGUGUAGCAGUGAAAUGCGUAGAUAUCGUGAGGAAGACCAGUGGCGAAGGCGGGUCUCUGGACAGUCCCUGACGCUGAGGCGCGAAGGCCAGGGGAGCAAACGGG
rnacentral:rRNA from 1 species